UCCGUGAUGUAUACUCUAAUAGCGCACACACGAGAACCAAAGAAAUGGCUUCAUUUAAAUUGCUUAUAAAUAUAUUUAUACAAUAAUUCAUAUAAAUGAAGUAAUUUCAUAGGUUCUUGUGCGUGCGCUAUUGGAGUAUACAUCACGGA